AUAUCUUAAACUUAUGUGUAAGGAAAACAAUAAUUCAGGGUGAUACUCGAGUCCUUACUGCUAAUGUGAGAUUAAUUUUUGAGUGGGUUAAGUUUGCCCUUAAGGUGACCCCCCUACAAAUAAAUAUGAGAAAAAGGGCUGGGGUGUGGCUUUGUGGUGGAGCCCUUGCCUA
ensembl:snRNA U12 U12 minor spliceosomal RNA